CUUCCCUCCGCCAUCUUUGUUUGGGUCGGCGUCAACCUGACAACCGACAACCGAGUUUUUAAAAAGGUUAUGCACAACAAGUGUGAUAUCGGAGGAGAAAAUAAAUAAAUAAAACGCCGGUGACAAAAACCCAGAAUCAGAUCAUCGUCCGCUUCAAGGCUCAAACUCGCUGUCACUGCUGACUGAGAUCUCCAGAGUGGAGGCUGCUGUUCGUCUGUGCUCCAUCUCUGUGCUGCAGUCACUGGCCUCAGGGCUGCUGCUGAGGUGGUGGAGGGAAGAAGCUAACAGAUGCAGCUCUGUCUCGCUGGCGUCGGUUCUUGAACCAGUUGCCCACCUGUGUGGGUGUUAGUCCCGUGGCCUGGGCCAGAUGUCGUUUCCUGGAAGGGUUUGGAUACGGAUCUUGAAGCAUCUUCUGGUGGAGGAUGGAUAUUUGGUUUUCAGGCCCUCCUUGAAACUGCGAAACAGGACACGGUUGUGUUUGUUCUCCUCGUCCUUCUUGGCGUG